CUUGCCCGCGGCCUGCAAAGACGAGACGCCAUUAAAGGCACCCAGGCCGCGGCUCCUCUGGGACCCCAUCCUCGUCCAGUGGAUGUGGCCUGGAGGAGCUCCUGACUGUGCAGACCCCAAUCUGUAGCAAGCUUUCCUGAAAGAAGCUGUGGCCCUGGAGAGCUCACGCUGGUGCAGAGCUUUCCUGACAAGAACUGUGGCCAUGGACUGCCCAUGCUGAGCUGGUUCCCCUCACAGAAGCCAUGGCUCUGUAGAGCACAUAUAGUAGCAAGUGACGGGAAUUGCACCCAUGCUGGAGCCAGUUCUCAUGACAGCCACUGUGGCCCUGAGGAGGCUACACUGGAGCAGCUUCUCCAUGAGACCCAUGGAGAGGAACUUCAGCCCAUGGACAGGAACCUGCAGCCUGUGGACGGGAUCUACACUGGAGCUGGGGAAAAAUUGUUCUAUGAGAGUCAUGAUAAGCGAAGACUUUAUCAAGAUCUAGUACCUGCAGAAGAAUCAAGCUCAUAACUAAACACCUGUUCUUUGGAAGCAGUGGCAUCUAAGUGCAGCAGCACCACUAUUCUAGAUAUAUGGUCCGUCUGUCUGAGAAGAAAGAGACACUCCGAGAGAAUGAGCAAGUUGACACUGGCCAGUGCACCAACCCUCGCGUUCCCCUAGGGCUGCUGGAUUUAUCAGCACCCUCUUUCUGAGUGAGAACUGAACCAGGCGCUCUCCGGAGUCCUUUACUACUGCUCAUGUGGCUGGGUGGCAGCUGAGAGAUGAGCAUCCUUCCUGGCCAGCCACUGUGCUGUUUCUCCUGUGCUCCCAGCAGAGAAUAAGAGACCAAGGAUGUUCUCUGUGCCCCUCUGGAGCACAGCUGCACUGCUGAAUGAAGGAUCCAAGAUGCACAGUGGCUCAGGGGAUAUUUGCAGAAAACAUGCAGCUGGCUUGCAGGAGAUGGAUCUUAACUUUUAAUACAAUUUCUGUAUCCAGGACUGAAAUUUUCUUUGAAGAGAUGGGAGUUCACUAGGUUUGUCUCCUACAAAAACAGCUCGGUGCUGUGUCGCUGCGGCUCAGCGGGGGAAGGCAGCGGAGGGGAUCCGGGAGCACAGCUCUGUCCUUGCCACGCCCGGGGCUCUGACCUCCACCGCCCGGACCUGCCCUGCUGGGCUGCACAGCCACGGCCCAGAAGGAAGCCUCCCUCACGAAAAUUCUUUGAUCCAUGGAAAGAGACAUUCUGAGUAGGCUAAAGAACAAUUCCUAUGAUAUGAAAUAGGAUUGAAAAGAUUAAAAUGAGAGACAGGAGACAGUGUGCAGGCUCUGCCAGGAUUUAGACCAGCUACACGCACAAAUCAGACUCCAUAAUCAUGUUCCAUUCGAACUGUAAUUUAUUUCAGACUGAGACAGAGAUGAGAGAUCCUCACCAUUCCUUACACCCACAGAGUAGCUGCAUGGCUCCUGCAGGAUGAUCAGGAUUGCUCCAGUUGGAUGCUUCACCUGAGUGCCUUCCAGCCAAUUAAGGAGUCCCCCAUGCUGAGCAAGAAGUUGUGGAAGACACAGCAAGCAAGAGAAUGUGCCUGCAUCCCUGUUACUCUCUAGAAGUCAGAACCCACAGGCACAGCUCUGCUUGAGACUCUGGGAUCCUGAGUGCAGCAGAUUCCAAAGGGCUGAUCUGGGAUACUCAACCUGCACUGCAUUCUACCCCCUUAAAGCACUUGGGAAGUGCAGGCUUUGUCAUUUCACUCUCACAGAAAUAAAACUUGCAUCUCUUAAAGCAUUUACCAAACCACAAGACUAGACCCACUGUAAAAUUGAAGCAUUCUCCCUUCAACCUGAUGAGGAAUAAAACCAAAGUGUGACCCACUGCAGAAAAGGGACUCUAAUUUGAGCAGAGCAGGGAAGAAAUGAGCAGAAGGGACUUUCACUGCAUAAUCCAACAGUAAAAGCAUUAACUUAGGAAAGGAGAAAAGGGAAACCUCACUUCACUGCUUCUGUUCAGCAUUAAAUGCCCUUUUCCUUGUUCAGUGAAUCCCAUUGCCCCAGCCCCUUCUCUGCUUUCCACAUUCAAGAAGAAAACUGAAGAAUUUAAGUCACCCCAUGUUAUUCAGCCACUCUUAAAUCACAAACAUUUCUCAGAGGUUAUCAGUAGCCUCCUGGUGGAGGCACCUCAAAAAAGACCUCUAUAUUUUCCAUCCCUGUCCUCAGGCUCCCUCUGAGGGAAAGCUCAGCUGUCCACACUCUCUCUCCCAGGGCAUUUGGAGGGACAGGCUGAGGGAUGGUACAUGUGCCAUCAGCCACAGGGUGUCCCUCUCAGGGGAGGCUGCUGCCACACUGAUGCCAUAUGCCUUUUUAUUUCGUGACACCUGUUUACACAGCGUGAGGCAGGGAAAAGAUUACUUUCACAGCGGAAUGGGAAAUCAUGGAGCGCUCACUGGCAGACAGUGGGCUCAGGGAAUAUCUUGUGAAAGCAUUUAACAAUUCAUAUUGUCAGAACGGGUACAACCGUCCAAAUACAUGCUGUUUCCAGUCUCCUGUGUAAGAGCCACAUUUGCAAAUUAUUAAGCCAAAGAAAUUAUAUCACUUAGCUAAAAGUUAUAAGCAGAAAAAAAAAUCAUUCACUUUUUUAGAUUAUUGUUUCUUAACAUCUCCAUGUUGGUUUUGAGCAAGCUGUGUUUUGCUUCCUUGACUAUUCUGCUUAGUAUUGCAACAUAAAUGAGAAAGUUGACUUUUAUGACUUUCUAAAUUAUAAUAACUAUUCUCUCCUGAGCACAGAAUAUUUGUAUCUGUAACAAUAUACAGGGUUACAAUGGCAUUGCUGGCCUUUGGAAAAGUUUGAGGACAGGUUUGUUCCCAUUUUGUGACUGCUUCAAGUGCUGGGGAGCAUGAACUGGUACAUUAGUUUAAACCACAGUGGUUCUGAGUUAAAGUGCU